UCCCGUAUGCACUUCCUCGCGGUUUGCAGUGGUCUGGUAGUACGAGGCUCAGUAGUCAAUGGACAUCUUGCAACCGCGAUUUUGACAUAAACGAACUGCUGUCUUUUUGUGCACCUUUCGAGCAGUAACCUGCGCCGUUUAUUAAAAGGGGGCCUCAGUUUUUGUCGUCUGCUGAACGUGGUUUUCUCGGCACAAAUCAACUUCAAUAAAUUAGACGACAGGUGUAUACAUUGGAUAUGCAUUUUGGCAACUGGCAUUAUAUUUCAAACUAGGCAUUGGUUGUUAUAUGGGGAGAAGUCUAACAGAAGGCCUAUCAGACAGAUGCCAACUGGUUCUUCUAA